rnacentral:misc_RNA from 1 species
AGCCUGUCUCCUUCUAUAGUUCGUCUGUAAGGCUUCAUUCAGAAAUGAAAGGGCCGCCUUUUCUGGGCGUAACCCCUGAUUAACUGAAAGGUAUUCCAGAGCGUCUCUUUCCUUGUAUAUCUUCGUAACCCAUCAUCUGGUCUUCGAUGGCUCAAAGCGGGGUCUUGUGACCAUGCCUUCCCGCUCCUUUUUCUGGUCGUUUUGGCCCCCUUGAAGGCAUAGUCUUUCACCCGGGCGCAACCCUUCUUCUUUCCGAACUAAAAGGGGAGCGUUGGUUUGCUGUGUGGGUGGUAG